GACGUAGGGCGCGAGCGUUGUCCGGAUUUAUUGGGCGUAAAGAGCUCGUAGGCGGCUUGUCGCGUCGACUGUGAAAACCCGCGGCUCAACCGUGUGGUCUGCAGUCGAUACGGGCAGGCUAGAGUUCGGUAGGGGAGACUGGAAUUCCUGGUGUAGCGGUGAAAUGCGCAGAUAUCAGGAGGAACACCGGUGGCGAAGGCGGGUCUCUGG
rnacentral:rRNA from 1 species